rnacentral:rRNA from 1 species
GAUGAACGCUAGCGGCAGGCCUAAUACAUGCAAGUCGAACGGUGUCUUCGGACAUAGUGGCGCACGGGUGCGUAACACGUAUGCAACCUACCUUACAUUGGGGGAUAGCCUUUCGAAAGGGAGAUUAAUACCGCAUAAGACAGUAGCUGGGCAUCCAGCAGCUGUUAAAGAUUUAUCGAUGUAAGCUGGGCAUGCGUCCAAUUAGCUAGUUGGUGAGGUAACGGCUCACCAAGGCAAUGAUUGGUAGGGGAACGGAGAGGUCAAUCCCCCACACUGGCACUGGGAUACGGGCCAGACUCCUACGGGAAGCAGCAGUAGGGAAUAUUGGGCAAUGGACGCAAGUCUGACCCAGCCAUGCCGCGUGCAGGAUGAAGGCGUUAUGCGUUGUAAACUGCUUUUAUACAGGAAGAAACGACUCUUGCGAGAGGCAUUGACGGUACUGUAUGAAUAAGCACCGGCUAACUCCGUGCCAGCCGCCGCAGUAAUAC